rnacentral:rRNA from 1 species
UACAGAGGGGGCAAGCGUUGUUCGGAAUUACUGGGCGUAAAGGGCGCGUAGGCGGCCUGCUAAGUCGAACGUGAAAUCCCUGGGCUCAACCCAGGAACUGCGUCCGAUACUGGUUGGCUUGAAUCCGGGAGAGGGAUGCGGAAUUCCAGGUGUAGCGGUGAAAUGCGUAGAUAUCUGGAGGAACACCGGUGGCGAAGGCGAAUCUCUGGACAGUUACUGACACUGAGGCACGAAGGCCAGGGGAGCAAACGGG